GGGGGGGGGGGGGGGGGGGGGGGGGGGGGGGGGGGGGGGGGGUGGGGGCGGGGCUUGCUGUUGGGGGUGAGUGGGGAAGGGGGGGGCAGGAGGUGGGCAAUGUGCGCCUGGCGCUGGGAUAAGCGCUGGACGCGGCGUCUACUACUGGGUACGAGCGGCGGAGGCGUCUUCGUCAGCUGGAAAGCAGUUCGGCCCGGGAUGAGCUCGCGGGCGAUCAGCUUGUUGGUGAGGUAAUGGCUCACCAAGGCGUCCACGGGUAGCCGGCCUGAGAGGGUUACCGGCCACACUGGGACUGAGACACGGCCCAGACUCCUACGGGAGGCAGCAGUGGGGAAUAUUGCACAAUGGGCGAAAGCCUGAUGCAGCAACGCCGCGUGAGGGACGACGGCCUUCGGGUUGUAAACCUCUUUGAGCAGGGAAGAAGCGAAAGUGACGGUACCUGCAGAAAAAGCGCCGACUAACUACGUG
rnacentral:rRNA from 1 species